rnacentral:tRNA from 1 species
AAGGUAGUGAUGGAAUUGGUAGACAUGAAUAGCUUAGGACUAUUUGAUUUUCUUAUCUUA